GGCGGGGGGCCCGGCCGGAGCAAGAGGGAGGCUCAGCGCCGGCUCCACCAACCAGGGCCCGCUCGCCCGUCCGCUUCACCAGGAUUGGCGAGCGUCUCAGCCAAUGGAGAAGCGACAAGAGCGGCGGAGCGUCGGCGCCGAGGGGCGGGGGAUUGCGGAGGAGGUGGCUCCCACCCUUGGUCCUCCGCCGCCGGGUCGCGAUGAGGCUUUGACCCGGCUCCCUUUCAGAGCGAAGGGACGUGUGAUAGCUAUCCACACCUGUUCCAGCUGUAACAGCAACUAAAAGUAACCCCGCCUUAUAUGAACUGCUGCUACACUGAGUUUGGCAUCCACUAUUAGCCCUUAAUCAUACUGUCCUGAGGUGUUUGGGAUUGUAUCAUGUAGGCCAGUCUUAGCUCUCUAAUUAGAUGAUGAAGGAACUGAGGCCCUGUGACUCCUCUAGGAUCAGAGAGCUGGUCCUUGCUGCCUUCCAAGGAAUUUAUUCAGUCUGCACAAGCUGCUGGCUGCUCUGCUUGGCCGGGCCUGUGGUCAUCCACCCUGAGCGCUGGACACCCUCCAUUUCCUGCCAGGUGUUUCUGCCGCAGCUUCCUGAGGUGGUGCUGCACUUGCCCAGGGGGCCGCUUCCAACAUUCCCAAGGCUGCAGACUCUCUAGGAGCCCAAAGAGCCUUCUGCUCCCUCCAGACCUCCCAGCGCCAGUCUGUCUAUUUGCACAUGAAUUGGGGGAAAUGUUCCCCCUCCCUAAGGUUGAUCUCAGCCCCUGGAGCUGGGGUGAGCACCAAUACUAGGCUCUCUGCUUCCUUGCCCUGCUUUCACUUAGGAAUUCGCCUCGUUCAUUGCUUGCUCCUAGAACCUUCAAAAUGUUCCCCUUGAAGACACUUUUCCCCUUCUAAAUCACUCAGGCGGAUAAUUUGGAGGGAAAAAAAUGAGUCUUCUCUGACCCCACAUCUAUGCAAAUAGCUUAGAUCCGGCCAUACGUAUUUACUUGUACGUGAAUAUGUGAAAAUAUAUGAAUGUAUAUUUGAAAGUGUAAAACCAUAGUUACAAAUAUAGGCAUAUGAGUGAACAAACAGUUCAAAAAGGGACUCAAACACUAAGGGCUGUGCCCACUUUAUGAUUUUACCACUUGUUCCUGUUGGAAUUUUACUUUUACUGUGGUCCACUGCAUCCUUAUUAAUGUAGUUCCAGCUUACAACUAAUUCUGAAUGGGACACACUAUUUUGAUAUGUUUGGAAAGAUCUCCUUAUGCCUUUAAAUAUCGCCACUUUUUUAAACUUUGCCAAGGUCAUAAUGGAGUAAAAGUAUUUCAAAAAUACCAGAGCUUUAUUAUUAAUGUUAUUUUACAAGUUAAAUUAUACAUUAAGGGUCAAGUUGGAAAUGAUAAGAAAUGAUGGUACAAGAUUCAGUAACAAGCCAUGGUUGACAGAGAAAAGUGUAAGUGGGUGCUCAUCUUAUAUGUUUCACAUCCCUCUAUCCACUACAUCUUUUUUUGAAGUGAAAUCGAUAUUACUGCUUAUAUAGUAAGUAUAUAUCCCUUGACACAAACAUAUGUGACAUAUGAAUAAAUGGAAGAGGCGAUGAAGAUAUGUUAAAACAAACUUAUUCGGUCUUUCAGAGAACUCAUUAAAUUACUCUCACUUGGUUCUUAGGGUGGCUAAGCUUGAAAAAUCAGGCUCAAGAAAAUCUGUUGCCCAGGAAAAGAAUAUGUAAUUUAAGGCAAAAGAAUAAAAAAAUGGAGACAAAAUGUACUACAGCUCAUUUGUCUGGAACACAUGGGCUAUUUCAGGUGUGGGGAAAAGGGAGAGGGUGUGCAAGUCUACCUACAUCUUUCAUUUGCAGUGGCUUGGUUCCUGGCAUAAUCCAUACACUCAGCAGUGAGAGAUUGCAUGCUUAAUUACUUAAGAGACCCAGAGAAUAACGGCAAGAUCUUUAUUAACGGAGGUGUUUCUGGCCUCUUGUGCUUCUUUCUUUGAUAAGCUGAUUAUUGCUUUAUUGGUUCCAGUCUUGUCAGGACCAUGGACAGCUCCAUCACAGCGGGGAGUCUCUUCUCUGCCUCGUUCUUCUACUUGUAGGAUUUCAGAGGAAAACAGACCUGAAAGAUUAACUGUUUUCACACCGAGACUUUACAGAUGAGGAAAUGGAUGUUCAUAAAAGUUAAAUGACAUGUUCAAGUCACGUGCUUAAAUCUGAAAAGCAGUC
rnacentral:lncRNA from 1 species